rnacentral:tRNA from 1 species
AGUUCCGUGUUCUAGUGGUAUGAUUUCUCCUUCACACGGAGAAGGUCCCGGGUUCGAUCCCCGGCGGAGUAG